rnacentral:sRNA from 1 species
CUGACAGCCCAACAGGCUGAGGUCAGAUAUUCCCCUCUCCCUGCCACAGAACUGGUUAAAAAUGAGCAGCAGCUGUGCAAGCUUCCUACACACACUUUCCCAGCAAGUGUGCCUCAUUCCUGCCAUGGAGAGACCACUUUCACAGCAAUGAGAGGGGAGCUGAGACUCCAUAACCUGUUCAGUUCUUGGCAAGA